rnacentral:rRNA from 1 species
GAUGAACGCUGGCGGCGUGCCUAAUACAUGCAAGUCGAGCGAACAGACGAGGAGCUUGCUCCUCUAACGUUAGCGGCGGACGGGUGAGUAACACGUGGAUAACCUACCUAUAAGACUGGGAUAACUUCGGGAAACCGGAGCUAAAACCGGAUAAUAUAUUGAACCGCAUGGUUCAAUAGUGAAAGACGGUUUUGCUGUCACUUAUAGAUGGAUCCGCGCCGCAUUAGCUAGUUGGUAAGGUAACAGCUUACCAAGGCAACGAUGCGUAGCCGACCUGAGAGGGUGAUCGGCCACACUGGAACUGAGACACGGUCCAGACUCCUACGGGAGGCAGCAGUAGGGAAUCUUCCGCAAUGGGCGAAAGCCUGACGGAGCAACGCCGCGUGAGUGAUGAAGGUCUUCGGAUCGUAAAACUCUGUUAUUAGGGAAGAACAAAUGUGUAAGUAACUAUGCACGUCUUGACGGUACCUAAUCAGAAAGCCACGGCUAACUACGUG